AUUGAACGCUGGCGGCAGGCCUAACACAUGCAAGUCGAGCGAGCGGCGGACGGGUGAGUAAUGUCUGGGAAACUGCCUGAUGGAGGGGGAUAACUACUGGAAACGGUAGCUAAUACCGCAUAUUAUCAGAUGUGCCCAGGUGGGAUUAGCUAGUAGGUGGGGUAACGGCUCACAGAGGCGACGAUCCCUAUCUGGUCUGAGAGGGUGACAAGCCACACUGGAACUGAGAAACGGUCCAGACGCCUACGGGAGGCAGCAGUGGGGAAUAUUGCACAAUGGGCGAAAGCCUGAUGCAGCCAGGCCGCGUGUGUGAAGAAGGACUGCGGGUUGUAAAGCACUUUCAGCGGGGAGGCGGUACCAGAAGAAGAAGCACCGGCUAACUCCGUGCCAGCAGCCGCGGUAAUAC
rnacentral:rRNA from 1 species